UACGUAGGGUGCAAGCGUUGUCCGGAAUUAUUGGGCGUAAAGAGCUUGUAGGCGGUUUGUCGCGUCCGCUGUGAAAACUCGGGGCUUAACCCCGAGCCUGCAGUGGAUACGGGCAGACUAGAGGUAGGUAGGGGAGAAUGGAAUUCCCGGUGUAGCGGUGAAAUGCGCAGAUAUCGGGAGGAACACCGGUGGCGAAGGCGGUUCUCUGGGCCUUACCUGACGCUGAGGAGCGAAAGCGUGGGGAGCGAACAGG
rnacentral:rRNA from 1 species